CCCCGUAGUGGCAGCACGCCGAAAUGCAAGUUCGGAGACGCACCCAGUUAGGUGCCGGGGCUU
rnacentral:tRNA from 1 species